CCUUCCAGACCUUGAACAUUCCGUGUGGAUCCGCAGCGAUCCGUGUGAUUCGCAGCCGUGCUCCCUGGAGCAGGUCCUGGCUCGGCAGUCCUGGCAGUAGUGAUUCCUGGCCUUCUCAGAGGAAUUAGAAACGCUCCCAGGUGGUUAAUGCGAGAAAUCCCGACAGGGCAGGUCAAAGCAAUGGCUGUAAUCUCGGGAAUUGUAGGGGCUUUUGUAAACAGCCAAAGCUGUUGAGAGGAGUGAUGGUCACGCUGCUGUAGCUGUGUCGAUGUUUCCCCUGGUGCUGGGGUGGUGCAGUUCAGGCUGAUGCUCCAGCCACACAGGCUGCCCGGAGAGCGAUGCCAUGGGAGAUUGGGAGGGACCUAAUUACUGUGUGCUGUGUGGUGGCUACUUGGAGCUGUCUCUUGGCUCAUCAACCCUUGAAAGGAAUGACAGAUUGGACAUUCAAAGACACUUGGUUUUGCUGACAGGCCGUUUUCAUCAGCAAAUGUCUGUCAUAAUUCAAAAGAUAAAUUACCUUCUUUUUUCCUGUAGGGAAUUUGGCAAGGGCUGUGACGUGACUCACACUAUGCUCUUCUUUGGGUUAUAGGCACAGAUCCAGCCUGGUGGGAUCUGGCAGGGACAGGGCCCCAGGAGUAUCAGCAGCCUCUGGGAUAAUGCUGUGCUGCAUUACAUUGUGAGGUGUGAAUGCUGACCUCAGCUCAGCUGGUAGUAAAACAUCAGUGAGUUCCCCAGAGUGUUGCACGUGAACUGAGGUUAAAGGCUGUACCCUGCCAGGGUGCUCCUCUCCCCAGCCUGGCUGGUCAUUAGGAGCACUGUACUUGUCCUGUAAUCAGUCAUUCCUCACACUGGAGCUUGUUUUAGGAAAAUGGUCAUGCCUCUGCUUAACCUUGAUGUCAGCUGAUGCUCUCCCAGGCAGAAAGUGAAGCUCGAGAUGAGUUUAUUGCUGUCUUCGGGAAUCCUCAGUCUGGACUCUGCCAUGCCUUGCAAGCAGAAAGAUGCCACAUGAAUUCUGGAGCUAUAGAAGUUCUGUGACAUCAGGUGACCACCUCCACUCUCUUCCAGCCUUGUGUGCACACAGAGCCAACAGGAGAGUCCACCCAUUUGUAGAAGUGUGGGUGUUCAAAGAGCUUGAAAACUGCAGCCUGGAAUGUGGAGUUCUGAUGCACUUGGAAAUGCUUCCAUUGCCCUUCUUGCUCGUCUGAAAUACUACUUGGUUCCAUAGAAUGGCAGGGGAGUAGCUGUUCACUGAAAAUGAAUAAUCCUGGAAUGAAGUUCAGGGUACAGUGCCACUCUAGAAAGAGAAGUGGCCUUAUGGGCAGUCUUAGUAUGAAUUUUUGAGUGUAUCAAAUAAAUGGAUCAAAAGUGAAUAAGGUAAAGAUAAAAAUGUGGGAAAACUUGUGUUGUCUAAAUUAGUGUUUACAGUGUUAGUAGUGGGUAUGAAUAAAAUACUGGAUUUCUGUUUUCAGUAACUUAUUUUUUGUUGAUUCUAUGGGAGCAGUAGCACUCUGAUCCUGAUGGAUGACAUCCUGGGUAGGAGUAACACAAGCCUUAAGUAUUCAGAUUGUCCUGAUUUGACAAAGUAUGUACAAUUUUACUGCAGCUUUUUUAAUUAACGUGUAGCUCUCAGAUUUAAGGCUUGCUGAGGAUUCUGUUUAGUGCUAUAUCCUUAGUAGGAAGAUGAAGCACAGGAAAGCCCAUAGCUGGGGAAGCAUGCUGUGCUCCAAACACCUAAGCUCCUACCAAACAUUCUUCAUUUGUUUUUACAGUGAGGUAGGGUUGAACUUACUGAGCUACCUGCCUACCAGGUUGUCUAAUUUUUUUUACCAAACUGUAGUGUUCUUCUAGUACCUGCAGUCUAUAAAAUAAUGUGGAAGCAUUGGGCUUUGCAGUUUGGGGUGGUUUGAUAGGUUUCUUUUGUGGUUUGUUUGUUUUGCAGGCUUUUUUUGUUUUGUUUGGGUUUUGGUUGCAGAAGUAUCUUGUCUAAUCUUAUGUUGCUAUAAUGUAAAAAAAGACAGAGCAUGAAGCAGUAUGAUAAUACUUUUAUACAUUUCAAAAUCUAUACACCAUGAGUACAGACUGCUGACUUAAACUAUGAAAAGAAGAGUUUUAAUGUUCUUAAAACUCCUUAACCCUUUGGGUGAUACAUUUGAAAGGAAGCAACAAGAAAAACUGCAGAAUUCAGGUAGCUGAAAUAAAAUAUUGGAUUCUGAACUGGUGGUUUAAUUUUUAGUUGUAGUUUUAUUAAAAACCCUGAAUCCUAAAUUACUCCUUGCUUAACAGUGAAUGGAGAGUGGUAGCCAGGAAGAGAAGUUCUGGUAGCCAUUUAUAGCCAUGGCUUUCCAGGAUGAAGACAUCUCUCCUGCCUUCAAAUAACUCACAAAACUUGUAAUUCAAGUCUGGUUAGCUAUGCUUUAUUCCUUGGUAAAACAUCACUGAACUGUCUUCUAAGUUUUUAGUAAUUUUGUAUUUUGAACUAUAGCCUCUCAAAAAGCCAAAGCCUCAAGCUUUACUUAAGAGUGGAGUUUUUACUCUUCAUGACUGUUAAUGUGAAUUCCUGGGCUAUAGGCAGUAAUAAACUUCAGCAGUUGAUGGUGACACUGCAUGAGGUAAAUAUCUCUCUGUUGCAGGGAGUUUUCAUCACUGAGGUCAAAUGGAAAUACAGGAUUUGGUGCUACACAUAAUGCAGAUGUGCCUAGGCAAAGAAGAAAUUAAGCUGUAAGACUUGAUAUUUGCCAGUACUUUGAGGAAAAAAAAGAACUGUGAUGCAAAUUACUUAGUAGUGCAAUCCUAGAUCAUAAUUCUUACCUCACUUUCAAAUCUAUGUGUGAACAAGUAUGACUGAUGCUUAAUAAACGAAAAAACCCCUCCAACCCUUGUUUUUUGUUUCCCCAGGGAGGGAAAUCUUUCCUUAGUUUAACUGGAGCCAGUGUUAGAGGAGCAGUGCCUUAAAUAAACCAGUAUGAAGGACAGACUUGGUGCUGGCCUGUGGCCUCAUUACAUACAGCACUGAGACAAACUGACAGACAUCUCCAAUACCAGUCUUCAGCGGUGGAAGUUCUGGAUUUUUAUUUGAAAUUGCCUGCUAUCACAGUCAGUGGAUGUAGAAUAUUUUCAGACUGACAAAAUGUGACAGUGAUGCACUCAAGACUAAGGAACAGUUGUGAUUAUUUACCAUGUUUUAGGGUCAGCGAUGACUCAAGUAACAAGAUGGCAAUCACUGCAUCUUCCUCAAGUACUGACUGUCUUAAACUGAGCUUGGCAUGAGCCUUAGCCAGUGAAAUCCUAAGAGAUCAAUAUAAGCAUGUCAGAAAUAAAAAAUACUGCAGGCAGGAAUGCAAUGUGUCAAGCACUUGUGUAAAUUAAAAGUUAACACUGAGGUGGGUUUUUUCAUCAGUCAGCUGUGCAGUUACACUUAAAACUGACAAAAUACAUACUAUGUAUUAACUUUUUUGUGCUAAAAAGUGGAAGUUGGCAUAUUAUCAAUUAAUACUUACUUUGCUCCCAUAAUAAAGCUGUACAUAUUUAAAUACUUUUUUUUUUUUUUUACCUAGAUAGCUGUAAUAGUGAUACAUGUUUUAUAAAUAGCUGGGUUGUUUUUUGUUUUUGUUUUGCCUGCCAAAGUUGUUUGAACUGGGGUUUCUUUUAGCAGUGUCAAUAUAGAAUAUAAAUGGCAUUCAUAAAUUUCAUUAUUUAUACUUGAACUUUUCAAAACAUGAGUCUCAUGUAGAUUUUUAUUAAACAAGCUCCUGAGCAGAUAAGCACAAUUUCUCUUUGAAAAUGGAAAGUAGGACAUACAGAAUUUUUAGUGCAGAGGCUGAUAAUGUUGAUCCAUGAAUGGAAUCUCUUCUCACCCUGCGACUUGCAAGAUAAUAGCCCUGAAUGAGACUUUCUGCUUCUGAACUCAGUACAACAUGAAGAUUCCUAGCAAACAAAAUAAACUAAAGAGAGGGCAUAGAUUUUAAAUAUUUAACUGGAAAAUAAGAAAUUGGCCUUUUUUCACACCUUUUAAUACACCACCAGCAUAGUAAUACAGGCUGGACAAUAUAUUCUACCAAUAGUUUUAAUAGCAAAGACAGUUGUCACCAUCUGGCUAGGCUGAAUAAGGAAGAUAUGAAGGAUAAUAAGGACAGACCUUGGAUAGUAAACAGAAUUACAGAAUGGUUUGGGGUGGAAGGGAUCUUAAGGAUUAUCCCGUUCCAACUCUCUUGCAAUGGGCAGGUACAAUUUUCACUAGACCAGGUUGCUCAGAGCCACAUUCAACCUAGACUUGAAUUCUUCUGAGUGAGGGAAUCAUCUGUUAGUUAUGCUACAGAUAUUGACAGUUUAAUUAGAAUGAAAUAUUAACUUCUACUACUGCUUGUAAACUUUUUUGGUCAAAAGUAGAUACUGGAGAUCUGUUCUCAUAUGAGUGUUAACUUCGUACAUUUUCCAGAAACAUGCUCAAACUGUAUUUAUUAUACUGCCCUUUUCAAGAACUGAAGCUGCUUUAGUCAAUGAUCCUAAUAGUGCUAGUGGAAAUAUGGUGGAGGAAAGGGCAGAAAGUGAGUAUUAAAAGUAAGCAGACAGCAGAGAGAACCUUCUGGUGCUAAACCCAGUAUGAUAUUCACAAAUAUAAUGCAUUUCUAAAUUAUUGUGUAUAAUAUAUGUGUAUAAAAUAUUGUGUAUAAUAUAUGUGUAUAAUAAAAUAUAUGUUUGUAAUCCUGUUACCUCCUCAUAAUCCUGUGUUCUGAACUGCUGUGAGACUUUGUACAGCAUGGCUUCAGGAUUAAUGGCUUUUUUCAAGAUAUGAUGUGCAACAGGAGAAGACAGGCGACAGGAAGGAAACUCAUUGUAGAUCAGGAGUCCAAAACCAUCUACAAGGUUAACUGGAAUCAAACUCACAUCCUAAAAAGAAGAUCCAUAGAAAGAAAACAUCUACUUUAGUUUGGGCUUUUGACUUUUAGAAGCAUUACCUUAUUUUAUAUCUGAAAUAUCCUAUAUCCACUUAUCUAAUUAUCUAAUGAAUUACUUGUAAUACUUGGUAAAAUUUUGUUUGAAUGACACCUACUUUUUUUUGGGAAAGCUAUCUCAUUUUAGAAGAUACUUGAUUUAAAGUUCCUUAGGUUGUGACUUUCUGGGAAAUACAAGUUUUAUUUUCAUUCUUUUAUAGGUGGAAAUGAACAUAAAUAACACCUAUAGCACAGUUCCUCUCAUCACAAGGCAUGUGCUUUACCAUCUGUCCAAUUAGAAAGUUCUCCUUUUGUAUAUGUUUCUUUGAGGAAGAUUCCACAUCUACAAAGGACCAAAAGUUGGUCUGAAUUGAAACAGUAACUUGUUGGUCAGCCUCUUCUCCAUACUUCUUCCCAGGAAUAAAUACUGUUGUUGUUCUGCUCUCUAGCACUACGAUAAGACAAAAUUCAUCAGUUACAUGACAGAUUUAGCUUAGCUGUAAAUUCUAUCUGAAAUCAGUCAUGAUUAUGAUUUUUCUAAAUUGUUAUGAUUAAUAAUGUCUGUAGCAUUGCAGAUUUAAGUUUACAGGACCUUGGCUUUUUUGUCCUUGUGUCUUACACAUACCCAUUAAAACCAGCAUACAGAUUUUUGCAGCAUUUGAGGGCCAUAAGCUGGGGGAACAAACCUAGCCUUGAAUUUGUAUAUUUGUUUAGAUCUGUCCCCUCAUUUGUUAGGAUGUGGGAGAUUACCAGACUGUAGAAGUUCAAGUUUAUCCUUUUUAUAUGAACUUAGGUCUCCUAUGUAACAGAUGCCACCUUUGGCCAGCACAGCACUGCAGGCUUGAAUGCUGGCACUCCCAGUUCCAUGUUUAUCUUUGGACACAGAAGGAAAAAUGUCACUGGAAGGUGGGUGCCGUAUGCCACGAGGCAGAAGACAUAAGCUGUAAUUCAGAAGCCUGGAAGAUUAAAUAAUUCUGUCAGUCAUAACUUGUUAAAUUAUUUACUUAGUAAGUAUUAAAACUCACUUAGAAACAACAACAAAACAUCCUCAAUGUGAAACUGGCACCAAAACUAAUCGUUAAACUUUGAAUACAGAAGUAGAGGUUCAAGCCUGCUCUCCAACAGCUGUCAUCAAGACUAUUUCUUAUGGAUUAAACAUGAGGCAAAUCAUGGGUUGCAGAAGUAAUUCCUAGGAAAGCAGAUACCUCUUGUAAUUUAACCUCACAUUGUUAACUCCUCUUUCUAUUCUACAGAAACUUUUCCAGUGAUUUAAAAGUUUAGAGGAUUAGUAAUUUUGGCCAUCUGGGAAAAAUGAAAAGGCUGGGACUUGUGAGCUCUGCCCUCCUGAGUUACACACUCCCCUCCAAUUCUUUUGGAGAAAGAAGAUGUCUGUACUAGACUCAGCAAUAUUGCAAGUUUAAGAGUAUUGUAAGUGCCUGGUGGAACAACUUGAGAAGCAAAGAUGUUGGCCAGGAUGGCAGUAAACCUCCAGCAUGAACUUGAAGUCAGUGAGAGCAGAUACUUAAAAUUGUCACUGACAGAAGAAGGACCUAAUGGAAACAAAGCACACAUGAACAAACACAUUAAAGUGACCUAUGCAGGUACGUUAGAACAAAUCACCAAUAGCGUCUUGAUGCAAAAACUUGCCAAGAACAAGUACAUCUCUGUAUUAAGCACAAAUUCAGAAUGUAAGCAUCUGACACUCUUAAUUUUACUGCUAGAAAGGUAGCAGACACAAUCUGCUAGAACUGGUGGAAUAAGGAAAGAAAAACAAACUGAAAUAUCAGGUUAAUUUUAUAUUACUUCAAAGUACUUUCCAAUGGAUAUGAGAAGAUGGAAAGAGAAGCUGAAGAAUUACUGUAAAUAAUUAGGGAAUUUCCCAGUGCAUGGAAAGUGGGCAAAAGCAGAUACUCUCAACAGGAAGUACAUGUUUCAGACUGUAAGAUGAAAGUCCCUGAGUGGUUUUGUAAUCUGGACCUCUAGAUAAUAAAAAACUGUACCAAUUCUCAAGA